AACUUAUGAUGUGGAAUUGCACGGACAUAGUCAUUAAAACGCUCAUGGGCUUCAACAAUGUUCUCAGUAGAAUAUUGAGCAAAGGUAGAUAUCCUAGUUCUUAGAUU
rnacentral:snoRNA from 1 species